UGCGCCUACGGGGCGCAGCAGUGGGGAAUAUUGCACAAUGGGGGAAACCCUGAUGCAGCGACGCCGCGUGAGUGAAGAAGUAAUUCGUUAUGUAAAGCUCUAUCAGCAGGGAAGAAAGUGACGGUACCUGAAGAAGAAGCUCCGGCUAAAUACGUGCCAGCAGCCGCGGUAAUACGUAUGGAGCAAGCGUUAUCCGGAUUUACUGGGUGUAAAGGGAGAGUAGGUGGCAGAGCAAGUCCGAAGUGAAAACCCAAAGCUCAACUAUGGGAAUGCUUUAGAAACUGCUCAGCUAGAGUGCAGGAGAG
rnacentral:rRNA from 1 species